rnacentral:lncRNA from 1 species
UGGCUUUGUGGACCUUAUCAUCUACCAGUUUUGUUCUUGCUGUGCAUAUUGUUUUUGUUUAACUAUGAGGUAUCGUUGGAUGACAAGUGCUGUCUUCCUGCACAUGGAUAUUACAUUGAAAGAGUUAUAGGUUUAGGAAGAUUUAUCCUUAAUUAGUGGUCUUCCCCCCUUAAGGUAAAGGAUCCCGCUUUAUCCCUGAUUAGGUUUCCACGAAACAGUUCCAUGUUCUUUGACAACUAACAGUUUAUAUCAAUCGAGGUAUUGAUUGCCUCUUUGCUUGUGUCAUCGUUCUAGGCUAGGUUUAAUUCAAACCCUGCCAAUACCCUCAACCUAUGCCAAGCUUCCAUCAGCUAUUUGGACUGGGUAUAGUUGAUAGUCAUCCAACAAUUCCUUAGAUCCAUUCAUAUGGUCUGAACACCCUGAGUCUAUAAUCCGUUGUACACAAGCCUUAGUCUGUACUGAGUAAGCAGAUGAUUGGUUACCUUUGCUAGCAAAAAGGCCCGAGAAUUAGUUUUCUGGUUGGGACUACUGAGACGUCUGAAAUCUGCUUAAAACUUUGGUAAGAGGUGUCUCCAAAACGUUGUUCUGCUCCUUCGAGAACGAUCCUGCCUUUGAGGUAGCUUCUGCAACCUUCUCAGUAUGAGGCAAUGUGUGCCCGCCUCUUCCUCUCAGAAUGGGGCUUCUAGCUUGCUGGUUUUCCCAUCAAUUCCCAGCAUUCUGCCUUGACGUGCCACUGCUUGUGGCAAUGGUCACAGAAUAGGAUAUCUUCUUCUUCUUGGUCCUUUGCUGGAUUUGAGGUAUAUUGUUGUCUGGCCCUCUGCUAGCUUCGAACAAGAAGCCCUUUGCCUUGUCUCUGACACCUAUACACAUCAUACUUUGCAUCUUCCCUUUCUCAUCUUGAAUCCCCUCAAACUAGGGAAUGAGCAAGCCCCAUUUCUAGCUUGCAUACAAAAUCUUCAAACAUGUUGCAUUUGAAACAUUAGUAGAAAUAGAGCAUUAGUGUUAAGAUCACCAAAUUAAGAUUCCUAAUUGAUAAUAGUCAAAAUCAACUGUAAACUUUUCAGACACAACAACAGUUGCAACAGUACAUGGAAUGGUAGCAACGUUAAAGAAGUGAAAUUGUGUUCCAAGCUUGGUCUUAUGGCAGAAAACAUUAACAUUCGCCUUAAAGAAGAACAACAAAGGCAAAGAAGACCACUGGAGCCGAUUGUGACGCUUCAACUUCAAAAAUUGUUGGCUCGUCCAGAUAGGCGUCUCUCUUUUAUAGUGUUAGUGGACCUGCCCUGGAACCAAAGAACCUCAAAAUAUGUAGGCAUAUCCAACAAUAAAGCUGGAAACACAAGCUGUUAGCAUAGGAGGUUGAAAUAAGAAUAUAAGGUCUACCAGGACCAAUAAGGGGGUUGAUGUGAAGGCUACA